rnacentral:rRNA from 1 species
GACGAACGCUGGCGGCGUGCUUAACACAUGCAAGUCGAACGAAGUGGCGAACGGGUGAGUAACGCGUAAUCAACCUGCCCUUCAGAGGUGGCCAACCGUUGGAAACGACUGCUAAUACCGCAUACUGAAGGAGUGGAUUUCGUCUGCUUAGCUAGUUGGAGGGGUAACGGCCCACCAAGGCGAUGAUCAGUAGCCGUGCUGAGAGGAUGAACGGACACAAUGGGACUGAGACACGGCCCAGACUCCUACGGGAGGCAGCAGUGGGGAAUCGUCCGCAAUGGACGAAAGUCGGACGGAGCAACGCCGCGGGAGUGAUGACGGCCUUCGGGUUGUAAAGCUCUGUUAAUCGGGACGCGGUACCGGAAUAGAAAGCCACGGCUAACUACGUGCCAGCAGCCGCGGUAAUAC